GCCCCCGUAGCUCAGACGGAUAGAGCCGGGGAUUCCUAAUCCCUGUGUGCCGCAGGUUCGACUCCUGUCGGGGGCA
rnacentral:tRNA from 1 species